GUGACACUUCUUGGGAAUCUCGACAAAUAUCGUACGGGGUGUAAGUAAGGUGUGAAAUGAUGAAUCCAUACCGCCCCAGUCUGAAUUCUGUGACUGAUUGGUUAUGUAUCUGACACAUUCAUACGUAGUAGUUUUUUAUUUUAAUGGGUAGUAGUAGAAACAAUUAUAAUAUUUGUAGUGCUCAAUCAAUUUCUGUAUUUGGAUAAAUAAAUUCACGCAAAUAUAUAUAUUUCAGUUCCAUACAUCAAGGACACAUCACUCGUCAGAGCCUAAUACCAUAUAGGGGAAUUUAAAUUGGAUAUGGAAAGGAAGAAGAUCCUUUGGAGAUUACGAAUUCAGGAAAGGAGAAACUUCGAUAUUCUCUCUGUGUCUGAUUCUAGGCUUAGCCUUCACUCCGCGAGAUAUCUAAAGAUGAAAUAGAGGAAAAGAAUUUGAAGAUGAUCAGUUUUAUAAAUUGAGGCUGAAAUACAUCUUAUCACAGGCAGUUUCGAAGAGUGCGUUCCCAUGUCAAGCAAGGAGAAAAUAUUGGAACAUCUUAUCUUAGGCAGGUGUAUACAAUAUUCUUACGAGAUACCUCUGCCUCGACUUGAAUGGUGAUGAAAUCGGGCAAAUCUUUACAGCUUCAAAAAAGUUCAUAAGAAGACUUUAUGACUUGAAACCCCUAAUCAGAAUGGAAAAAAGGACAUGAAAUAAAUUGGUUAUGAAGUAAAGGGAUUAAUAAAUCCGAGAGGAAAAGAAGAAACGGAAGAGUAAGUGAGUAUGUUUGUGAAAUAUUUUUUGUAAUAUAUUUGAGAAUGGAAAUUAUUUAAUUUUUAUUUAGCAGGUAUGAUAA